rnacentral:lncRNA from 1 species
CCGGGAGGCUGAUGACUGUUCCAGGCACUGUUCGGGACCUAACUGAACAAUGAAGCGGAGAGACAGAAAUGCCUUGGUGGAGUCAGGCAGGGUCAAAGGCCCUACCAUGCGUGAGGUCUGAGCCGAGUUCUGGGGGCUUCACGGAGAGUGGUGCCUGAUGGCCUCUGCUUCCAAAUGGCUCCAAACCUGCACAAACCCCUCUCUCAUCUUGCUAACUGGGAUCUUCAUGUGUCAACAACAGAAGCAGUUUCACGUCCACGUGUCACACAGGACUCAGCCACGAUCUGUCUUUGAUCUGACCUAGAAGUAGAGCUGCACGUGCCAAAGCAAACAUGGCUUCUCAUCGCUGGGGUCUAGAGUCAUGGGUUCAAGUCCAGACUCUGCCAUCUCCUUGUGGAGUCGGUUCUCUCUGCAAGGCUCAGUCUGAAGAACUGUGGGCG